CAGUAAUGUGUACAGCACAUUCUUGUUUGCAGUAAAAAGUUGUCAUAUGGAUUGUUUUGACUGUUUCCAUGACAUGCAAAUGGACAAGGAUUUUAAAAAAUGUACUCGGCCCUAAAGCAAACCAUAUUUAUCUACACAUCCAGGGAUGUUCGGGACACCUUGGGACACUGCGUCUCAUGUUUGUCAGCAUUUGAUCUGUGAAAGUUUGAGAUGAUCGUGAACCCUGUCAGGGAACUCUCCAUUCCACCUGUGUGCUCACCUCCCAAAGAAGUCAGAAGCGUGCCAGUGUCUGUGCAUCUUGACAGGCCUGAGAUCCUCUGAAUGGAAUGCUUCUGUAAUGGGUUGAAUGACUGCCGCUCUCCCCAAUGAGGGAGAAUGCCAUGGGAAGGAGUUAUGUGGCCAUACGCCAAGAAACUACCAGAAGUCAAGAGAGAAAAAUUCUUCUUAGAGCCUUCAGAGGGAGCUUGGUCCUGUUCAUAUUUUGAUCUUGGACUUACAGCCUCAGAACUGUGAGACAGUAUAUUUAUGUUUUGGCCACCUCAUGCGAAGAGUUGACUCAUUGGAAAAG